CUCCCAGCUCCAAGGGGAAGGGCCAAGCCCCUGGACUGGCCAGCGGGACGCUGCCCCAGUGCACCCACCUCUCUGCUUGAAAGCCUCUCCUCAGGGAGGCCCCUUGGACCCCCUCCCCUGAGCCCCAGAACCAGAGCCUUUGGAAAGGCGGCAGGUGGCCCUCAAGGCAGAAGCCCUCCUCUGCUGCCGAGGCCAUCGGCCUCCUCCUGGCAGGCAGGCCUGGCCGCCAGGCUGACCGGCUCCUCCGCUCAGGCACCAGCCCUGCCUGGAGUGACUCAGGCUCCUGCCCCCAAACUUGUAGCCCCUUCCCGGUCCCACCCCCCAUGUCCGCCCACCCCUGGCCCCAGACAAGGGCCUCCCCAUCCCUCCCCUCUCCCACCCCUCCCUUCCCCGUUCGCUCCCCUCCACCCACUCCCCUCCCCUCCCCUCCCCAACCCCACUCCUGAGUGGUGCCCACAUCUGCCUUCCACUGCGGACAGCAAAGGACAGACUCUCCCCUGGGGGCCGGGGGUGGGGGGUGAGGGGGGCUCUCAACCGCCUGCUGAGACCCAUUUCAAAGACAAGGAAACAGGCCACAGGGGCCAGGGGCCAGACAGGACGCAGGCUGUGGGCGGCACCUCUCCUGCCGGGCAGGAGCCGCAGGGGCCCGGGUGGACAAAGAGCAGGAUGGGGCCUGCAGCCCCCAGACUCACCCCCACGGGAGUGCCUGGCCCAGAGGCCGAGGUGGCCACACGGCUGCAGGGACACGUUCUCCUGCAGGAUCAGGGCUGCUCUGAGAAGCCUCGGGCACCCCCUCCCCCAGCGCAGCCUGCCUGGCCCCCCGGCCACUGCAAGAGCUGCAGGGCCUCGUCCCCAGCGGGGGCCUCUCUGAGCCAGGCCAGGGCCCUGCCCAGAGAAGGCCACGCGGGGCGGCGGGCCACGCUGAGGACACGGGCCGCCGGGCAGCAUGCUGGGCCGGGAGCCUCCCCCUGGACAAAGGGGCCUUGUGUGGCUGAAUGGCCGUUUAUCCUGGAGUUAACUCGGGGCCGCGAGGCCGGGUGGGGGCCCUGGCACUGGCCUUCCGAGGGUAAACAUGACCCGAGCCGGGCACACAGCCGCGGGUCCGGGCCUCUGUGCCCCUGCAUUUCCUGCACAUUGUCCCCAGGGGCCAAGGGGCCUCCUGCCAGGAUGGGGACGGGGGUAAGUGGAGCUGCCCAGACACAGGACGCUGCGGGUCCCCUAGCCCCUCCCCGCGUGUGCGGUGGGGACCUGGAGCCAAGGUGUGUGCCCCCAGAAUGCCUGCACUGA
rnacentral:lncRNA from 1 species